AGCGGGCUAGUCUACAACAAGACCUCUGAAUUCGGCUCAGAAAAUCGUGGUUUAAGUCCAUGGCCCUCUU
rnacentral:tRNA from 1 species